GUCAGGGAGGGAACCUACUGUACCAUUUACCCCUAAGCAACAUCCCUGUGCAUUAUAUGCAAGUGGGCUUUUUGUACAAGUAGCUCUGAUCUCUCUACACAAUUCCUCUAUCUUACUUAACACAGUAAAUUGCCACACACGCACUCAUCCAAGGUGAAUCAUGAUUUAAUCCCAGGUGAAUGCAACCCAUCCCCUGGCAGUGCGCUACAGCCUUGCUACUCAAAAGUGUGGUCCAAAACCCACCUGCAGGGACAUCACGUGGGAGAUGGUUGAAAAAGCAGAAUCCAGGAGCCCACCCUAGGUCUACUUAACUCCAUUCAUAAACAAACUGUUGAAAAAGAAGCACAAGACAAAGACCUAUGAUACUGGACAAGAAAACAAAAGUUCUGGGAGUUGGAUUUGAGAUGAUUAUUUUUUGUAUAGGUUUUCUACUUAAACUCAAUUUAGAUCAUGUUUACUCAUCACGUGGGAAGAGAACAUCAGGCUCCUUCAGCUUCACAGCACUCAACUUAUAAGAUCAAACAUACACAGAGUUUACUGCUAGGGCCUGGGAAAAUUCCAACAGAAACCCUGGAGAGAGAGAGAUCCCCUGCGGUGGUACCAUCUCUUCUGGCUGGGAGAUUGAUGUGGAAACUGGGGAAAGAAUAUUCAGGCUGAAAUGAAUAGAAAGAGCUCUAUAAAUGAGUAACAGGAUAAUUAAAGCAUGAAGCUUUCUACAUCUCGAGAUAAUGGUAAUGGAGUUCAAGCUACUGAUAGCAUCUUUUAGAGUUUGCCAGUUUGUGAGGAAUGGAGCCAAGUUAAGAAUAGACCAUCAAUCAACCCUAUAAAGAAGUUUGUGUGUCCAUUAAGUGUUCUGCAAUUACCAGAAGUACCCACCUAUUUUCAGAAAAAGGCUGAGAAAGAAAGGAGGAAAAAGCCUCUCCAAAUACAAUUUUUGCCACACCUCUGGAGAACACCCAACUUCAUGAUGUCAGGAGGAAGCAAGUUUGGGCCAUGAAAAGAGCAUCCCAUUGUGGUAAUUUGCAACUCAUUCUCCUUUACUCUCCCCCCUACUGUGUCCCUGUUUCUUGCAGAGUCAGCAAACCAGAAUCACCUCACCCUGUCUUUUGUGGGGCCUCCCACAUUGACAACUGAUAUCUGUAAUCUUUCUGUUGUCUUCUAUUCUCGGUGAAACAAGCUAACCAAAAACUCAUUGGAUGUUGGUAUCAUAUAAACUAUGACCCUUCCAUCCAUUAAUCUGAUCACCUGCUGUGAGGGAAGCCAUUUUGUGAGGACAUUUGAGCAGCCUGUGGAAAGGUACAUGUAGCAAGGAACUGAGGUCUCCUGCUGACAGCCUGCAUCAACUCACCAGCCAUGUGAGAGAGGCACCUUGGAAGCAGUGCCUCCAGCCCCAGUCAAGCCUUCAGAUGACCACAUCUUGGCUGACAUCUAGACCACACCCUCACAAGACACCUUCAGCCACAGCCACCCCACCAAACCACUUCUAAAUUCCUGACCUACAGAAACUGAAAACAUUCACAUUAUAUUGUGGUUUUAAGCUGCUAGGCUUUGAAGUAAUUUGUACACAGUAAUAUUUAACAAAUACCAGCACUCAGGAAAUACAUGUUGAACAAAUGAACAAAUAAACGAGUGAAUUAGAUUCACA
ensembl:lncRNA